GAAGUAUGCCAGCCCAACCAAAGAAAACUUACCAACAAUAAGAGAAUACUUUCAGCGAACUUAUGAGUAUCGGCAGGCACAGGUCAAAGGGGAACUCUCUGUUACCGAGCUCAUAGACCUGUAUCCAUGAUACAAGGAUUUAUCCAACUAACUUGAUCAAUGUUGAAUUUGCACUUAUGUUUCGUGAGGAGUCUGGGAUUUUUCUGAAAAAAUGGGGGACUACAGGGAGAACAUCAUCACCACUGCCAAGGAGGAUUAUGCUACAAUACAACAGGUCAUGAAAGAUGAAGUUUCUGACAGAAGGAACUGAUUUGAGGAUGACGGCUCGAAAUGGAGAAAAUGUUCAGCCAAUCUUUCCUUGUGAAGAAGAGCAAGCGACACUACUUGGUGUUGGACCAAAAUGUCCUUGUAGCAGGUGAUACAUUUGACAGGCUCUUCAAAGCCCAUUACUGUUUCGAUGUCCACUUUUCCCAAGUUUUGGCACCAUUUAAUGAAUAUUUAGCAACCUACAUAAAUGGGCUGUUGCACCCAUCCAAGGUGAGACCUGCAGUGCGCUCACUUGCAUCAGUUAUUAUGUCUGAUCAGUAAUCCGUACAACCUGAACCCUUUUCGUGUUAGACCAAAAUGUUAUAAUUUGAUCAUCACUAAAUAGGCAGGCCAAGUCACAACUUGAAUUGAUUUAGGAAGUACUGAACACAGCGCAACUGCAGCAGACGCAGCUUCUGUCUUACGCAGCUUCUGUCUUACACGAGCAUCGGUGUC